rnacentral:lncRNA from 1 species
GCUUAUUGUUCCCUGUAGCCCCAGGUCCUUUCCUGCAGAGCUGCCUGCCCAGCCAGUCAGGCCCCAGCCUGCAUGGCUCGUGGGCCUGUUCUGCCCUCAGAACCGUGAGAGGAACGGGCGCCAGGGGAGCAAAGGGCGAGAACCGGGGCAUGGCGCUGCUCCAAGGAGCUCCCUUCAGCAAAGGGGCUUGAGGCGCAGCCCGGGCGUGCCGGCCAGGAAGCACUAGCUGCGCCUUUAAAAGGCUGUAGCCCAGCCCAGCCACCCCCACCCGGAUCUGGCUGACGUGGGGAGGAGGCGCCUGCCGCGAACAAAAGUGCUGCCUUGUCGCAGCGCAGCAACAAGUGCGCGGGGCGCGGGCGCAGUGGAUUACAGCGGGGGCGGCCCCGCCGGGGCGCUGCUCCUUAAACCCCUCAGCUCGGCCAUGCGUGGGGCAUGACGGCGGCAGGAUGGGAGCGAACAAUGGCAAGCAGUGCGGCAGCGAGGAAAUGGAAACAUUUUCCUCAGAAAAAUGCUGGAAAAUUUUCCACCCCACAUCUCUGCCAGUGAGGAAGGAUUUCUACAGAAAACAGCUUUGA